UUUCAUUGGCAUUUAAUGUUGGAAGCAGAAAGGAGAAAUUUGAGGGACAUAAUUGAGAACAAAUCACACAUAAUUCUUGUACACUCCACUUCAGGAUACAAACAUAGUUUAAGAGAGGUUCUUGAUGCUCCAAAUGUGAUGAAUAUUAUAAAAGAUACAAAAGCAGCCCAAGAGGUGCGAGUUCUCAAGGAUUUCUUCACUAUGCUUACUAAUGAUCCACAUCGUGCAUGUUAAGGACCAAAGCAUGUUGAGGUUCCCC